rnacentral:rRNA from 1 species
CAUCACUACGCUAGAUGCAUAUCAAUAAGCGGAGGAAAAGAAACUAACUAGGAUUCCCUCAGUAACGGCGAGUGAAGCGGGAAGAGCUCAAAUUUGAAAUCUUCAAGGUUCUACCUUGACGAAUUGUAGUUUAAAGAAGUGUUUUCUGUUGGAGUUUUGGUAAAAGUUCUUUGGAAUAGGACAUCAUAGAGGGUGAGAAUCCCGUAUUUGACCAUUAUUUCCAACUUUGUGAUACACUUUCAAAGAGUCGGAUUGUUUGGGAAUGCAGUCCAAAAUGGGUGGUAAAUUUCAUCUAAAGCUAAAUACUGGCGAGAGACCGAUAGCGAACAAGUACCGUGAGGGAAAGAUGAAAAGAACUUUGAAAAGAGAGUUAAACAGUACGUGAAAUUGUCAAAAGGGAAGCGUUUGACACCAGUGUUGUUUUCUCGAAAAUCAAUUAAAAAUGGCGGGAUGUUGUGUUGUAUUGACUUUAUCAGCUUUCUGCACUUUUUUCCUGUCUUUUUUAAUGCACUUUUCGUUUAACAAGUCAACAUCAAUUUCCUUUGCUGUAAAAGAGUCAUUGGAAGGUGGCUUUCUUUUCGGAGAAAGUGUUUAUAGCCUUUGGCUUCUGCAGUCGGAGAGAUUGAGGUCUGCAGCGUAGAUCCUUCGGGGUUAGAUGCAUUUGUGCUAAGUUAUAGCCUUUCAUAGACAACUUGUUGACUAUGAUCAGUCAUGUAGCUUACUCGCUUAUGUCAUUUUACCUACGCUUAGGAUGUUGACGAGACUGUCGAUCUC